rnacentral:sRNA from 1 species
GGAUGUGAGGGCAAUCUGGCUGCGACAUCUGUCACCCCAUUGAUAGCCAGGGCUGAUUUCGGCUGAUGCAACUGGCUGGGCAGGUGUCCCCUUCCUCCCUCACCAUUCCCUGUGUGUCCCUCCCAAAACCAAAUGCUCUUGUCAAAGAUGACAACCUUAGGCUGGCGUGGUGGUGCAUGCCUUUCAUCCCAGCACUUGGGAGGCAGAGGUAGGAGGAUCGCCAUGAGUUCAAGACCACCCUGAGACUACAGAGUGAAUUUCG